UCUAACAUUUUUUUGUCUAUAUUGGGUUUGCAGACAUUUUUUUUGGGUGCGAUAUUUAUAUGAUGGAGCGAUUCCAGUAGUACUUGACUUUUUUUUUUGUCAGUUAAAAUUUAAAUUUAAUCGAAAACCAAGCGUUGAAAGCUUUCUACAAUGCUUAUGUGUUGUAUAGUCACUGUUUCUGAUAAUAACAUGACCGAGUAGGGUUAGAUGUGUUCAAAUAGUGCCUUGUUAAUUGCUUAUACAAAUAAGGGCCCAUUUGUAAUGCGAAUGAUGUUUAACAAUAACGAAUCCCUUUUCCUAAAUUAAUUGGCCUAUGAUUUACCGAAAGUUCAAAAAGUUAUAUUGCUAAAAAGAGAAAAUUCAACAGUUGUGUUAGGAGUAUGUAAUAAUUAUUGCAUGAAACUGUCACCAUCUCAGGGAUGAUGAUGCUAUAGCUAGUUCC
rnacentral:lncRNA from 1 species